rnacentral:rRNA from 1 species
GUGAGGAAUAUUGCGCAAUGGAGGCAACUCUGACGCAGCCAUGCCGCGUGCAGGAAGAAGGCGCUACGCGUUGUAAACUGCUUUUAACCGGGAAGAAACCCCAGGACGUGUCCUGGGUUGACGGACCGGAGGAAUAAGCACCGGCUAACUUCGUGCCAGCAGCCGCGGUAAUACGAAGGGUGCAAGCGUUAUCCGGAUUCAUUGGGUUUAAAGGGUGCGUAGGCGGAGCGUUAAGUCAGUGGUGAAAUCCUGCAGCUUAACUGUAGACUUGCCAUUGAUACUGGCGCUCUUGAGUGCGCUUGAAGUGGGCGGAAUGUGCCGUGUAGCGGUGAAAUGCUUAGAUAUGGCACAGAACACCAAUUGCGAAGGCAGCUCACUAAGGCGAUACUGACGCUGAGGCACGAAAGCGUGGGGAUCGAACAGGAUUAGAAACCCUAGUAGUCC